UUUAGUUUAACCGAUUUUCCCCAACUCCAACCAUUAUCAUUUAUAACAAAUGCAGAGCCUGUCAUUUUCCCUCUUACUUUCUUCGUCAGAAAUUCGUUCCUGAAUAUCCGAUCUGCAAGUUUCAUGCCGAGGCGAAUUCAUUUUGAAUUCUCUCUUCUUCGAUCGUUUCAAUCUCAGCUAAACCGGAAAUCGAUUUGCAUUCUUGAAGAGUCGGAAAUGGCGAGUACGUUGGUGAUAUCAAAAGAGGAGAGAAAUGGAUAGAAAGGAAUCUAAAGAUGACAUCCGGCAAGCAACUGUCAUUAAAAAAAAAUUGCUUCAAAGUGGCGUGUCUGUGGAGAAGAAGCUCACGUUUGAAAAGCUUUAAAGCUUCUUAAUUUGAUGAAGCCAAGGCAACAACCGAAAGACCAGGGCGGUUUGCAUUGAAAGGUAAGUCUUCUCUUUUUGUUACUGAAUCCAAUAUAUAUAGUUUUUUCCAUUACGGUGGUGAUUAUUAUAAUGCCCUGCUCGAAAAUAAUGGAGAAAAAAAUGGGAUAAGGUCAAAAGAGGAUUAAAUUUAGGGCCCUGCAAGAUCUUUCAAUUA